AUUGAACGCUGGCGGCGUGCCUAACACAUGCAAGUCGAGCGGUAACAGGUGUAGCAAUACAUGCUGACGAGCGGCGAACGGGUGAGUAAUGCUUCGGAAUCUGCCCAUGUAGUGGGGAAUAACCAGCCGAAAGGUUGGCUAAUACCGCAUACGACCCUUGCCCACAAGGCAAAGGUGAAAGCAGGGGAUCGCAAGACCUUGCGCUAUUGGAUGAGCCGAAGUCGGAUUAGCUAGUUGGUAGGGUAACGGCCUACCAAGGCGACGAUCCGUAGCUGGUCUGAGAGGACGACCAGCCACACUGGGACUGAGACACGGCCCAGACUCCUACGGGAGGCAGCAGUGGGGAAUAUUGGACAAUGGGGCAACCCUGAUCCAGCGAUGCCGCGUGUGUGAAGAAGGCCUGCGGGUUGUAAAGCACUUUCAGCCCUGACGAAGCGAAAGU
rnacentral:rRNA from 1 species